GCGGGAUUAGCAUAGUGAUAAUGUGUCGGGUUUCCACCCCGAGGACGUCGGUUUGAUUCCGGCAUCCCGCU
rnacentral:tRNA from 1 species